GUGAGUUUUUGAGCCGAUUGAAAGUGUGUGCAUUUUUCAUACACUCCUAUUCUGUCAUGUGUGAUGAACUUAUGUGAGAUACAUCUCUAGAACUUGCGUAACGAUCUUUGGAAAUGUUUGUCAUUGAUUGCAUGAACUUGGAAAUGAUAGAGGCAUUAGGUUUACCAUUAUGGCCCAAAUAACCAUGUUUCCCAAAGAAAAAUGAUAUCAUUAGAUUGCCAAUUUGAGCCGUGUAUGUUGAGCCUUUUAUUUCUUAUCACCAGAUAUGUCUACCCUUAUGCCUGAAACAUUUUUUCCUUACCCUUUCCAAGCAAGCUAGUGAGCAAUGUGAAAAUGUCUUAUGAGAAAUGUUUGUGAAGUACUUUGAAGGUGUUUGGCAAAAGAAUAAGUGUGGGGGUAUUUCAUGUUU
rnacentral:lncRNA from 1 species